UAGCCUACGGGAGGCAGCAGUGAGGAAUAUUGGUCAAUGGUCGGGAGACUGAACCAGCCAAGCCGCGUGAGGGAUGAAGGUACAGAGUAUCGUAAACCUCUUUUGUCAGGGAACAAAGGCGGGGACGUGUCCCCGGAUGAGUGUACCUGAAGAAAAAGCAUCGGCUAACUCCGUGCCAGCAGCCGCGGUAAUACGGAGGAUGCGAGCGUUAUCCGGAUUUAUUGGGUUUAAAGGGAGCGCAGGCGGGCUGUUAAGUCAGCGGACAAAGCCAGGGGCUCAACCCCGGCCCGCCGUUGAAACUGGAG
rnacentral:rRNA from 1 species